GCCAGGUGCAUUGAGGGUGUCAAGUGCGCCUGUAAUCCCAGCUACUGAGGAGGCUGAGGCAAGAGGAUUCCUAGUUUGAGGCCAGGCUCUACAAUUUAGCCAGACCCUGCCUCAA
rnacentral:sRNA from 1 species